rnacentral:rRNA from 1 species
GGCGAGGGGAGUGAAAAAGAACCUGAAACCGUGUACGUACAAGCAGUGGGAGCACAGGUUUACCUGUGUGACUGCGUACCUUUUGUAUAAUGGGUCAGCGACUUAUAUUCUGUAGCAAGGUUAACCGUAUAGGGGAGCCGGAGGGAAACCGAGUCUUAACCGGGCGUUAAGUUGCAGGGUAUAGACCCGAAACCCGGUGAUCUAGCCAUGGGCAGGUUGAAGGUUGGGUAACACUAACUGGAGGACCGAACCGACUAAUGUUGAAAAAUUAGCGGAUGACCUGUGGCUGGGGGUGAAAGGCCAAUCAAACCGGGAGAUAGCUGGUUCUCCCCGAAAGCUAUUUAGGUAGCGCCUCGUGAAUUCAUCUCCGGGGGUAGAGCACUGUUUCGGCUAGGGGGCCAUCCCGGCUUACCAACCCGAUGCAAACUGCGAAUACCGGAGAAUGUUAUCACGGGAGACACACGGCGGGUGCUAACGUCCGUCGUGAAGAGGGAAACAACCCAGACCGCCAGCUAAGGUCCCAAAGUCAUGGUUAAGUGGGAAACGAUGUGGGAAGGCCCAGACAGCCAGGAUGUUGGCUUAGAAGCAGCCAUCAUUUAAAGAAAGCGUAAUAGCUCACUGGUCGAGUCGGCCUGCGCGGAAGAUGUAACGGGGCUAAACCAUGCACCGAAGCUGCGGCAGCGAACGUAUCACCCAAGACAACUUUACGGAGUUGACGAUUGACGGAGCGAAGCGACGUCAAAGCGUUCAUUAAAGUCGAGUUGGCUUAGGGAUACGUUCGUUGGGUAGGGGAGCGUUCUGUAAGCCUGUGAAGGUGGCCUGUGAGGGUUGCUGGAGGUAUCAGAAGUGCGAAUGCUGACAUAAGUAACGAUAAAGCGGGUGAAAAGCCCGCUCGCCGGAAGACCAAGGGUUCCUGUCCAACGUUAAUCGGGGCAGGGUGAGUCGACCCCUAAGGCGAGGCCGAAAGGCGUAGUCGAUGGGAAACGGGUUAAUAUUCCCGUACUUGGUGUUACUGCGAAGGGGGGACGGAGAAGGCUAUGUUGGCCGGGCGACGGUUGUCCCGGUUUAAGCGUGUAGGUGUGUGUUCCAGGUAAAUCCGGUUCACUUUAACACUGAGGCGUGAUGACGAGGCACUACGGUGCUGAAGCAACAAAUGCCCUGCUUCCAGGAAAAGCCUCUAAGCAUCAGGUAACAUCAAAUCGUACCCCAAACCGACACAGGUGGUCAGGUAGAGAAUACCAAGGCGCUUGAGAGAACUCGGGUGAAGGAACUAGGCAAAAUGGUGCCGUAACUUCGGGAGAAGGCACGCUGACACGUAGGUGAAGUGAUUUACUCAUGGAGCUGAAGUCAGUCGAAGAUACCAGCUGGCUGCAACUGUUUAUUAAAAACACAGCACUGUGCAAACACGAAAGUGGACGUAUACGGUGUGACGCCUGCCCGGUGCCGGAAGGUUAAUUGAUGGGG